rnacentral:rRNA from 1 species
UCGGGAAUUUUGCACAAUGGCCGAAAGGCUGAUGCAGCAACGCCGCGUGAGCGAAGAAGGCCUUCGGGUUGUAAAGCUCUGUUGCCUGCGAAGAAGGGCCCUGUCAGGAAAUGGGCGGGGUUUGACGGUAGCAGGCGAGGAAGCCCCGGCAAACUACGUGCCAGCAGCCGCGGUAAUACGUAGGGGGCGAGCGUUGUCCGGAAUUACUGGGCGUAAAGGGCGUGUAGGCGGCCUGUUAAGUCAGGGGUGAAAGACCGGGGCUCAACCCCGGGGGUGCCUCUGAAACUGGCGGGCUUGAGUGCUCUAGAGGGCAGUGGAAUUCCCGGUGUGGCAGUGAAAUGCGUAGAGAUCGGGAGGAACACCAGUGGCGAAGGCGGCUGCCUGGGGAGUCACUGACGCUGAGGCGCGAAAGCUAGGGGAGCAAACAGG